ACCUUCAUGCAGUGUAGCAAGAGCUAGAAUAGAGGCCUGUGAGCAGGGUGGACGUCAUUCCUCAGUUCAGCAUCUUCGAAUAGAGGGUAGGGAAGGAAUGAAAUAGAACUUGCCCAUCGCAAUUAUGCACCCAUCAUGAUGCAAACCCUCAACCAACACUGCUCGGUAGACGUCACUGUUUUCAUUUUUCAGAUGGGCCAGCUGAGGCUCUGAGAGGCUGACUUAAGAAGCAUAGUUGUUAAAGGCGAAGCUAGGAUUUGAAGGCAGAGCACUGGACCCUAAGGUCAGCAAUUCCUUCUCAGGCUUUCAGCUUUCUGCAGCUCCAACUCAUUGCUGGAGUGAGGCGGGGCAUCAACGAAAGGGUGGGCGUCCCCAGGGCUGGAGGGCUGGAGGCAGCUGCCCGGGAGCGGUCGGGACCCAUACCUGUUGGGCGUGGUCUCAGCCAGCUCUUCCCGGCACCACUGGCAGCGGCUGCGGUAGGUGCAGCUGAGAACCCGACCAGGCCACCUGACAGCCGCAGAAGUCGCGCAGAUAGCGGUGCAGCCCCGCGGCGGCCGCCACGCCCGUGGAGCCGCGCACCCGCACGCGCGCCCCGCCGCCGCCGCUCAGGCGGUAGGUGUCCAAGCCCGACUCGGUCGCCAGGGCGCGCUCCACAGACACCAGAAAUCGGCCGCCGGCCCGGGCCCCAGCAGCCGGACCACCAGCUCCCGCACGACCGUCUCCUCCCGGGCCUCAUCGACCGAGGAGCUCCCAACCCCUGCCAGGAGCAGGAACCCCAGAGCUGCGGCCACCGUAGCGGCCUCCAUGGUCCCAGCAUGGCGGCGCCCAGCCAACAACCAAUCCGGGCUCGGGACCAGGGGAGCGGAACAGCUAGUGUCCAAUCAGCUGUGGACCUCCAGCCACGUGGAACUUAGGCUGGAACUCCCGCUCGCGGCCCGUGAGACUCAGCUUCCGGGCCCAGACCCAACCCUGAGAGUGUCUUCUGACCACACGCGGAGUGGGGGCGCGUGACUCCAUCAAAUACCCAGGGCCGCAUGGGGCGCAUUGCCCUUCCCAAAGCGCCUUCAGUGGGGUAUAUGCUGUGUCUGGCGCUCAGUUGAGAAGAGGACUGUCUGGAUCUGGGACCAUAAGGACUUGUCAAUGGACCCAUCCCAGCUGAUUCCCACCUUCAGCUGAUGGCCACCAGGGAGUGAAGCAGCCCUGCUGGGAAUCAGGCAGCAAGGUUUCAGUUCCUGGAUUUUCACACCCUGUGAUGGGGAUCAAAUCCGUGGCUUCACACAUACUAG